UACGGGGGGGGCAAGCGUUGCUCGGAAUUACUGGGCGUAAAGGGCUCGUAGGUGGCCAACUAAGUCAGACGUGAAAUCCCUCGGCUUAACCGGGGAACUGCGUCUGAUACUGGAUGGCUUGAGUUUGGGAGAGGGAUGCGGAAUUCCAGGUGUAGCGGUGAAAUGCGUAGAUAUCUGGAGGAACACCGGUGGCGAAGGCGGCAUCCUGGACCAACACUGACACUGAGGAGCGAAAGCCAGGGGAGCAAACGGG
rnacentral:rRNA from 1 species